rnacentral:tRNA from 1 species
UCCCUGGCAGUCCAGUGGUUAAGACUCUGCGCUUCCAAUGCAAGGGGCACAGGUUCAACGCCUGGUCAGGGGAA